UAGGAAGGCAGCAGGGGGAAUAUUGCACAAUGGGCGAAAGCCUGAUGCAGCUAUGCCGCGUGUAUGAAGAAGGCCUUAGGGUUGUAAAGUACUUUCAUCGGGGAGGAAAAACAAAACUAAUAAUUUUAUUUCUUGACGUUACCCGAAAAAGAAGCACCGGCUAACUCCGUGCCAGCAGCCGCGGUAAUACGGAGGGUGCUAGCGUUAAUCAGAAUUACUGGGCGUAAAGAGCACGUAGGUGGUUUUUUUAAGUCAGAUGUGAAAUCCCUGGGCUUAACCUAGGAACUGCAUUUUGAAACUGAAAUACUAGAGUAUCGUAGAGGGAGGUAGAAUUCUAGGUGUAGCGGUGAAAUGCGUAGAUAUCUGGAGGAAUACCUGUGGCGAAAGCGGCCUCCUAAACGAAUACUGACACUGAGGUGCGAAAAGCGUGGGGAGCAAAACAGGGAUUAGAUACC
rnacentral:rRNA from 1 species